GCCUACGACCAUAUCACUCCGAAUGCGCCCGAUCUCGUCUGAUCUCGAAAACUAAGCAGGAACGAGCCUGGCUAGUAUUUGGAUGGGAGACUGCCUGGGAAUACCAGGUGUUGCAGGCU
rnacentral:rRNA from 1 species